rnacentral:rRNA from 1 species
UGAGUACGAGCUGCUACGGCAGCGAAGUGGGUGACGUCAAGCUUCCAAGAAAAGCCCUACACCCGUUAAGGCAUGAUGGCCUGUACCCGAAACCGACACAGGUAGGAUGGUAGAGAAUACCGAGGGGCGCGAGGUAACUCUCUCUAAGGAACUCGGCAAAAUGGCCCCGUAACUUCGGGAGAAGGGGUGCCACCGCAAGGUGGUCGCAGUGAAGAGGCCCAGGCACUGUUUACCAAAAACACAGGUCUCCGCUAAGUCGCAAGACGAUGUAUGGGGGCUGACGCCUGCCCAGUGCCGGAAGGUUAAGGAAGCUGGUCAGCGCAAGCGAAGCUGGCGACUGAAGCCCCGGUGAACGGCGGCCGUAACGAUAACGGUCCUAAGGUAGCGAAAUUCCUUGUCGGGUAAGUUCCGACCCGCACGAAAGGCGUAACGAUCUGGGCGCUGUCUCGGAGAGAGGCUCGGCGAAAUAGAAUUGUCUGUGAAGAUGCGGACUACGUGCACCCGGACAGAAAGACCCUAUGAAGCUUUACUGUAGCUUGGUAUUGUGCCCGGGCUCUGAAUGCGCAGGAUAGGUGGGAGGCUUUGAUCAACAGCUUGCGGGUUGUUGUGAGCCAACGGUGAGAUACCACUCUUUCAGAGCUAGGGUUCUAACGGUCACCCGUUAUCCGGGGACCGGACAGUAUCAGGUGGGCAGUUUGACUGGGGCGGUCGCCUCCUAAAAGGUAACGGAGGCGCGCAAAGGUUUGCUCAGGCUGGUUGGAAAUCAGCCGACGAGUGUAAAAGCAGAAGCAAGCUUGACUGUGAGACCUACAAGUCGAACAGGGACGAAAGUCGGCUUUAGUGAUCCGACGGUUCUGAGUGGAAGGGCCGUCGCUCAACGGAUAAAAGUUACUCUAGGAUAACAGGCUGAUCUCCCCCAAGAGUUCACAUCGACGGGGAGGUUUGGCACCUCGAUGUCGGCUCAUCGCAACCUGGGGCUGAAGUCGGUCCCAAGGGUUGGGCUGUUCGCCCAUUAAAGCGGUACGCGAGCUGGGUUCAGAACGUCGUGAGACAGUUCGGUCCAUAUCCGGUGCAUGCGCAGGAAUAUUGAGAGGAGUUCUCCCUAGUACGAGAGGACCGGGAGGAACGCACCUCUGGUGUACCAGUUAUCGUGCCAACGGUAAACGCUGGGUAGCCAUGUGCGGAGAGGAUAACCGCUGAAAGCAUCUAAGUGGGAAGCCCACCUCAAGAUGAGUAUUCCCAUGGCAUAAGCCAGUAAGGUCACGGGAAGAACACCCGUUGAUAGGCUCUACGUGGAAGCGCAGUAAUGCGUGAAGCGGAGGAGUACUAAUAGACC